rnacentral:lncRNA from 1 species
CUGGAAAUCAUUUGGAUUGUGCAAUAGGCGUUGAUUUGACUUUUUGACUGGAUUUUGAUUGGUUUUUAUUGGUGUUCUUUAGGGAGCAAAUAGUGGAAGAGAGUUCGCGAUUGAUCGGAUAAUAUGGGAACUUGAGGCUAACUUUAAUGAGAUUUAUGGGCAAAUGAGUUUUAUUUUAUGGAGUUCUUAAAACUUGAUCUUUGGAGUAGAUAAUGCCCCUCCAUCCAGCUCAAUUCUGUAUCCGACACUGCCUCAACUCCUACUACUCCUUUCAUUCGCUGUCUCCCAGGCUUCUUUGAUUACUCUAUUUGACAUUCUGUUCGUAUAUUGGCAUCUGGUGUCGCCCAGAACCGAAGGCAAACAUAAGGAAAAGGCUGGAGUACGCAGUAUAUAUGUGGAAUCUCGCAUUCAAUCGACUAACCCACACAAAAAUUUGUAUUGUUUGUAGCAAACUGACCAAAUGAAACGCAGCAAACGGCGGCUGGCUGAGGUCCGCAUCCAGUGCAAAUAUACAGAACGGGAAAUAGAGGAGGACACUGCCAGGACGACACGCGUAUAUCUGUGCAACCCCCACACACACACACACACACACAUAGAACAGAGGCACACGCUGCUUGUGUCCUGUAGUAUAUCCACUUCCUUUUUUUUUUUCUCUCUCUGUGUGUCU